rnacentral:lncRNA from 1 species
AAACAAUUAGUCUCAGGCUACAAAGACUGAGGUGAUCACACAAAAUGCACAUUCUAUAUGGGUGCAUGCCUGAUAAAAUAUAGCCAUCAUCAUGCACUCCUGAAAAGUAACAUUCACAGAAACUCAUGUGAUAAUGAGCAAUAGUGAAGUGCAAAGGACAUCAGUUUUCAAAAACAGAGGAAAGAUUUAGUGUUUCAGCAGCCUUUCCCAAAUACCUCCUCUGCUCUGACCCCAGCUCCUUGGCACAACCCAUCACGUAUGCAGUGCCACCUUCCCUCCCUGGGACUGGCCAAGGAAGGAGCUCCCACCACACUGAAAACUUAGUACAAAGUUUGGCUUUGUUUGAGUUGGCAUGAGAGAGUGGUUUGGAGCUGUUGAUAAAAUUUCUGUUGUUGCAGACAUAGUUAAUCACACAAAGGAACUUUUAACUGCCACCAGCCUACAGGUGGGUAAAACUUUCAUUUAUGGCUACAUGAACAAAAAAUCCAAGGCAUAUGGCUUAUAUAGUUUCACAAGAAUGAAAUAUCUCACAUGCCUCGAAAAUUACUUCAGCUGACAUUUAGGAAAAAAAAAAAAAAUCCUAAGGCUUUCUGCCAAAUUUUAUCACACACAACAUGCUUGGCCAACAAAACACUCAGACAGCACAACAGCACUCAGUCCUGCCUCAGGAUGUAUCUUUGAAUUCUCUCCGUAAUCACUGUACUGCUAUUUGCCAACUUUUCCUGAAUUUGAAGCUUCACCUACACUUCCAAGAAACACAAGGACAAGUCUCUACACAGAAGGAAGCAAUCAAGGAAGCAGUGUUUGGCCACGCAGAGCUGGAUGGCAGCUGUUUCAAACACCAUGCAGAGUUCACUGACCAGCUCAUCACUCCUCAAGCCUUUGGCUGCCCUAUCUCGUAUGUAAGAACAACAGACUUACGGCAGAGCUGGCUCUGUCUUGCCUAA